rnacentral:rRNA from 1 species
CUUUGCUGGCGACCGGCGCACGGGUGAGUAACACGUAUCCAACCUGCCCUUUACUCGGGGAUAGCCUUUCGAAAGAAAGAUUAAUACCCGAUAGCAUAAUGAUUCCGCAUGGUUUCAUUAUUAAAGGAUUCCGGUAAAGGAUGGGGAUGCGUUCCAUUAGGUUGUUGGUGAGGUAACGGCUCACCAAGCCUUCGAUGGAUAGGGGUUCUGAGAGGAAGGUCCCUCACAUUGGAACUGAGACACGGUCCAAACUCCUACGGGAGGCAGCAUG